CCUAAUUAUUGUUGAUCAAAGAGGAUGCUGUACAUAUAAUCGUUGGCUAAAGAGAUCGUUGACUGAAAGUGAACGAUGUUCUAUUCCACGCACAAUUUAGUGCAUACAUAGAUAUAUUGGUGAAUAAUGAGAGCCAAUGGUCAAUUAAAGCAGCAUGGAUCCACAUCGUGUAUUCAAGACUGGUGUGUCUACAAAGCCAAUCGUCAUAUGUCCCGAGUAGAUAUAUGAAUCAAUCGUUCACGUACUUUAAGAAAAAAUGAAAUUAUUAAUUAUUGUUAACUGGAAUGAAAUAUUGUCCAUACUAUUGUAACGCAUCAAUCAUAAGAAUGACCUAUUCUGUGAAAAUAAUUCUAUAAUGUACAUUACAAUGUCUUAACAUGUAUUCUUGAACGUUGAGUUAUUAAUUAAAAAUUUAUUGAUAUCGAAA